UACGGAGGGCGCAAGCGUUAUUCGGAUUUACUGGGCGUAAAGCGCGUGUAGGCUGUUUAGUAAGUUUGGUGUGAAGGUCCACGACUCAAUCGUGGAAGUGCACUGGAUACUGCUAGACUAGAGUGUAGGAGAGGAGAACGGAAUUCCUGGUGUAAAGGUAAAAUUUGUAGAGAUCAGGAGGAACAACGGUGGCGAAGGCGGUUCUCUGGACUAUUACUGACGCUGAGACGCGAAAGUGUGGGGAGCAAAC
rnacentral:rRNA from 1 species